ensembl:lncRNA
AUCCGAUGAGAAAAUUGGUGCAAUAUUUUGCAAAGGCCCAAGACUCUUCCCUGCUUCUUUAGGAUAAACGGAUGCAUUUUGUCUUACUAGGAGCAAUAGUCUUCCUCUGCAUAUUGGAGCCACUUUCCUUCCUUGACACUCCUGUGAAAUUCUGCACUAUGUUAAAACCUUUAGAUGCAAGAAUCUCAGUCACAGGUCAUUCUGUAUAUAAUUGUGGACUUCCCUCUACAAGCAAAGUGAAAUGAUCAGCAAAGAGAGGUAAGAUCAUGUUAAAACUCAGAUAAAGAAAGACAUGUGAAACAGCAAAAGAAAACAAGAAGCAGAAAACCUAAGCAUAUUUAAAGUCAUAAGCAAUUAGUAAUUAUAAGAUAUGAUGAAACAAUAAUAAGGACUUCGCCAUAUAAUAUUCAUGUGGUUCUUUCUUGACUUGUAAGCUUGACACUAGUAUUUGGAGUCUAUUUUUUUUCCUAAUCUUACAGAAAUGAAAUUACAUCCUCCCCAUUAGAUCACUUAUAAUAUCCUAUAUAUGAGGGCUCUUUAGAAAAUACAGGUGUGUCUUGUAAAAAUAAUACAUUUAGAAGCAGAUUAGAAUGCUAUUUAGACACUCACUUAUUACUACAUUUAUGCUGUUUCUUCAAUUGUUUAUUUAUAUUUUAAGUAUGUAUGUCAGGGGUGGUCUAAUCCUAGCAACAGCGUGGGUCAGAACGAUGUUUUAGGGCUGUCCCCUUAACACUGAAGCCUCUGAUACUACUUGGCUCAGAUGUUCGGCUGGUGUUGCUGCUGUAGAAGAAAGGCAUCAUAUAAGAGGAUCAUAGAAUCGUGAGUUGAAAAAAAACAUCAAAGGCCAUCUAGUCCAACCCUCCUGCAAUGAACACGGACACCGACAGCUCAGUCAGGUAACUCAGACCCUCGCCCAGUCUGACCUUCAGUGUCUCCAGAGAUGGGGCAUCCUCAAAGGGCAACCGGUUCCAGUGUUUCACUACCCUAUUUAAAAUUAAAUAAAUAAAUAAAUAAAUAAAAAUCCUUAUAUCCAGUCUAAAUGUUUUUUAAGAGGUGAAGGAAAGUGCCUAUACUCCCUCCCACAGGUGACAUAAUCAGCUUUACUCAGUAGGUUGACUGUCUGGAGCAGGAGAUAGCUUUUGGCUGUUUACACUGCUUUUAUUGCAUGAAUUCCUCUGCCUUUCCAGGGAAAAUUCUCUGCCAUGGAUGAGAAUGUUCACUGGGCCACCAUCUAACUGAGGUAGCAAGAUCAGAAGUCCUUCCUAAAAGUGUGGUAUUAAAAAAAAGAUUAUAAGCUGAGUGUAUUGUGUUGAGAGCUAUACUGAAAGUGUCUGGAAAGAUCAGUCUAAAGAUGCUCUCCUAAAAAUGGAACAAUCCAAACCAGAAAAACAUAGAAUAUCACAUCUAAAUAAUACCUAUACUAUUCUUCAGGAAUCAGAAUUCAUCAGUGAAGGUAUAACACAACAAAGCUGUGAUAUGCUACUGAUAUUUUGUUAUAGGGAAUUUCAACAGAAAAAUAUAAUUAUUUCAGGCUUUCAUAUUACUUUAGGAAGAAGGAAUGGCUUUACUUGUGGGAAAAGAAAAGAGGAAAGAUUCUGAAUUUUGUUCCUUUAUCUGGUUCAGCAAAAUCACAGUAGGGAGAAAAAAGUAAACAGACUUGUCAGAGAUGCUUAGGCAUUGAGUCAAUAUCUGAAGAAAAGCCUAAUUUUGAUAUAUUAAUAAUAUAUUUUAAUAUACAUUUAUGGUAUAGCUCAAUCCAUUUGGCUUUAAGACUUGAACUGAGAAUGAGAAUAAAAUCAGAUGAAAACUUUCAGACAUAUCCUAGUCCAAAAUACUUGGGAAAUACCUACCUUCAGUACAAAGCAAUCCAUUUUGACAUCCAGAGAAAGUUCUUUAGAAAUAUUUUAUCCCCUACAAGUGACUUAUUGCUGGCAGUGAUUAUUUAGUAGUACCUAGACAAAGUUAGAAUUGUAUCAGAAGAAGGAGACUCUUCCCAGUUUUACCAUCAGUUCAGCAGUGAAAUUAUAGCAAUCAUAAAUUGCUCCCAGCUGUCCCUGCAGUCUCCACUUCAGCACUUCACUGUAGGGAGGGCAACAAGUUCUGCAACAAUCAGUCGCUUUUAUCUCUCUCCACAGGCACAUAGACGCUAUACUGGAGCUCAAACUACAUUACUGACUGCAAAAAAACCAAACCAAACCAAACUAAAACAAACAAACAAACAAAUAAUUGGUAAAUCAAAUACCAAGCAAAAUCAUUCAUAUCCUAUCCACCACUCUCAUUUAAGGAAGGAAGCUAUUGUUGGAGUACUUUCUUAGUCUUUUACCCAAUAUGUAUCUAUAAACCAGCAGCUCCCUCUUGAUCUUCCUAACCUCUUCUCACCCCAGAUUCUCACUCUUGUGGAUACCAUUUCUCAUACUGUGCAAGCCACGGAUUCUAUUUUUGUCAGUGGUCAUUUGUACAGACUUCUUCCCAGGUGCCCUCUAUUCAGAGCCUGCUUACCUCGGGCAUUGGACAUCAUUGUUUUCAUGGUUGUUACUUCCUUGCUCUGAGUGCUUUUUCCAAUUCCCAUACUAUGGUGCUUUCUGGAAUGAAUGGAUCUCUGGCUGUCAGUGAUCAAAGCUGUCAGUUGCUGUUUAUUUCCUCACCUCCUCAAUUUGGCUCCUGGGAGGAUGUUUCAACAGACGUUUUAGAGAGACAGAAAAAACCAAUAUCCUAUUAAACUAAUGACCCUUGGCUAUGCUAUCUACAAAUGAAUGCAGGCAUAGACAAUUGCCUGGUUUUCUACUGAGGGCCUGUGCAUGAUGCUCAUGCAUAUUUUCCAGCUCUAAAACAUUCAUAUAACUUGAAGAAAAAAAUGUGUAAUUUCCAUUUAACAGUGAUUAUCUCAGUGUAACUAUGGAACUCCACUAUUUUUUAUUUUAAUUUUAUUUUUUUGCUUGUUGAUAAUAUUAAGAAAGUUCAUGGCCAGAUUUUCUGGUGGAGAGCAUUGGUGACUGUUCUCUUUAUUCUUUUCAGAGAGCUUCUGUAAAGAACGUCUCAUCUUUUUAUCAGAGUUGGCUUUUUAUUGAAUAAAGAGUCUGGGAUAAAUUUGUUGUGACUUGUUAUUACCAAGCAAGCUUUUCUAUUCAGAGCAGCGAUAGCCUCUUUUUUUAUGUCAUAUAGCUGUAGUGUGUCACAGAUCCAACUGCAUCUUCAUGUCCUAUGGUCACUGCAUCAAGCCCAAAAAUUACUGGUGCUCAUCCUAACAAAUGGUUUCUCCACUUCCAGUAUCCUGCUUAAUAAGAUAUAUUUAAUACAUUUGCAUUAAACAUACUUCUGGAGGGAGCUUUUUAAGGAAUUUUAUUUUAAUAUAUUGGAUGAGGGAUGGUGGGGACCACAACUGAGAAAAAAGAGGGAACAGAGCUCAUAGGAGUUAGAAUCAGAAAGAUGGCGAAAUCUAUUUUAUUUGCAUUGAAUAGAAUAAAUGAUAAGGAACAUUCAAAAAGCUGCUCAAAAUGAGAUUCUUAGCAUUAACAGAGGAGCAGUGGUCUGAAACAGAAAGGGAGAUCAUCUCAGAAACAGCAGUUGUAUUUGCAUUUGAAUUGGAGAGGA